UACGUAGGGGGCGAGCGUUGUCCGGAUUUAUUGGGCGUAAAGAGCUCGUAGGCGGCUGUUCAAGUCGAACGUGAAAACUCGGAGCUCAACUCCGAGCCUGCGUUCGAUACUGGGCGGCUAGAGUCUGGUAGGGGGACCUGGAAUUCCUGGUGUAGCGGUGGAAUGCGCAGAUAUCAGGAGGAACACCGGUGGCGAAGGCGGACCCCCUGGGUUCGGAUACGUGACGCUGAGACGCGAAAGCGUGGGGAGCAAACAGG
rnacentral:rRNA from 1 species